CCAAAGGCUUCUUUUGAAGCCUUUCAGAGAUAACUUGCAUAUGUAU
rfam:Capsicum annuum cultivar Zunla-1 chromosome 3, whole genome shotgun sequence